rnacentral:rRNA from 1 species
CCUACGGGAGGCAGCAGUGAGGAAUAUUGGUCAAUGGGCGCUAGCCUGAACCAGUCAAGUAGCGUGAAGGAUGACUGCCCUAUGGGUUGUAAACUUCUUUUAUAUGGGAAUAAAGUGCAGUAUGUAUACUGCUUUGCAUGUACCUUAUGAAUAAGGAUCGGCUAACUCCGUGCCAGCAGCCGCGGUAAUACGGAGGAUCCGAGCGUUAUCCGGAUUUAUUGGGUUUAAAGGGAGCGUAGGCGGGUUGUUAAGUCAGUUGUGAAAGUUUGCGGCUCAACCGUAAAAUUGCAGUUGAUACUGGCAGCCUUGAGUACAGUAGAGGUAGGCGGAAUUCGUGGUGUAGCGGUGAAAUGCUUAGAUAUCACGAAGAACUCCGAUUGCGAAGGCAGCCUGCUGGACUGUAACUGACGCUGAUGCUCGAAAGCGUGGGUAUCAAACAGGAUUAGAUACCCUGGUAGUC